ACGCUCGACACCUACGGGGGGCAGCAGUGGGGAAUAUUGCACAAUGGGGGAAACCCUGAUGCAGCGACGCCGCGUGGAGGAAGAAGGUCUUCGGAUUGUAAACUCCUGUUGUUGGGGAAAAAGAGGAUGGUACCCAACAAGGAAGUGACGGCUAACUACGUGCCAGCAGUCGCGGUAAUCUGAGCGGGCUGGCAAGGC
rnacentral:rRNA from 1 species